AAUUAAAGACCCAAUGGGCCACUUUAUUAAUCAAAUAAAAAUGUACACUGUUGGACCAACGUGCCAGAGUCCAAAAAGGAAACCAAACAAUGCAAAAAGAAAAACUAAGUGUACCUAAUCAAUUGAUUAAUUAGGAAAGUGAAAUGUCUGCAGAUAAACUCGACAGACACGAAGAGAAAACUCCAUUGACAGGAACCGCAUCCAAUCUCAAAACUAAUGGGGGAGACGAAUCGGAGCUGCGAAAAAGGAUUCCAGCAGCUACAAAGUGUUUCUUCUUCACCUAUGCAUUCCAAAUUAAUCAAUCAAAUUAAUCGGAGUUGUUCAUCGAACCUGUUCAACCACGUCACCACCAUUGACUUUCAAGUAUUGUGGUUACGGUUGGACUGAGCUGCUUCAAGCUAUUAGGAUUCAUUUGCUCAUGCUAGUCAAAGUACCAAGCUGAAAUCUUCAAGUGGAAAUUAGAGGUACGACUAAAACUCUGCAAAUCUAUACUAACACCCUAGUCUUUAUACUCUUUUCCUUAAUGGAUUGAACCCACAUAGGUUAAUACCACCAUGUUAAGUGAAGAGAGUCAAAACUAGAGUGAAUUAGUAAGAUCUGUGACAUAAGUGUAUAAAUACUAAACGAAAUAUUAAAACAUCUCCUACUAUUGACUUGUGAGUCUUGGUUUCAUACCAUAUGUAACACGUCAAAGCUCUCACCAAGUGCAUGGUAUAGUAACCAACCGAAAAUACUUCGGACUUCACAAAGUACAUUAAUAAGCCGAUCUUUUAAACUCAGCAUUAGUAUUCAUAUCAUAAAAGUGUAUAAGAAAGUAUGACUAUUUAAGAUGUGAAAUUUGUAACAGAGUGUCCGAUUCUCAUGUUUGGUAAACUUAGCUUAUCAAGAUUGAUAAUCUUUUUCCUUUAAUUGGAACUUUCUGGAACUUCCUAUAUUCAACUGUACCUGCAAAAUCAAGAACCAAGUUAGCAAAAUAGUCAACAAGAGUAUUUCCCUCCCUCAAAGAGUGUUGUACUCUUACUGAUAUAACUUCGAUAAGCCUUUUAAUGGACUUAACCUCCAUUGUCACACUCCACGGGACUUUUCAAACUCCAUUAAUAAUGUGCAUCAAAGCCAAAGAAUCAAGUUCCAUGAUAAUAUUAAGGAAAUUAUUUUCCAGCAAUACUGCAAACCUUCUCUAACAGCCACAGCCUGUGCCACCAGAUUAGUUGAAUCAACAAUCUUCAAACCCUUUGCACCCACUAAAUCACCAUCACUAUUUCUUACACAAAAAACUGCAGAGCUAGCACCUGGAUUACCUCUUGAGGCCCCAUCUGUGUUACAUUUCCACCAACCAACAGGUGGUGGUAACCAUUUCACAAAUUUGCAUUGAAAACUUGGCCUAUAACUAUCAAGCAGAGCUACCAUAUAAGGCCAAGUUCUAGGAAUCUCAGUAUAUUGAAACUUCAGCUUGAUAAACUUCUGAAGAGUAGUGUUAAUAUCAUGCAAUACAUUACCUAUAGAAUACACUCCUCCAUGUAAUACAGUGUUUCUCCUCUUCCGUAUAAACCAUAAAACAAUAUUAGGAAUAGCUUGAAAGAUCACUUUUUGUCUAGCAUUUCCAUGUGCAUCCUACUACUUUUUCAUGGUCUGUUUUACUUGAAUCCGAAGAUCCGAAGACCAAUGAUACCAGCUAUAUUUGACACAUAAUUCCAAACAUUGGUAGCUAUUUCACCAUUUACAAAAAGAUGUUCCAUGGUCUCUCUGGCUGGUACUGAACAACAAGUACAAAAUUGAGAGAUAUUAGGGUUUCAGUUAGCCAAAAUUACUGCAACAGGGACCCUGUUAGUCCAUACUCUUCACCCAAAGAAUGAAAUUUUAAAAGGAAGUCCUUUCACCCAGAUCUUCUUAAAAAAAUUGAAACUUCAUCUUUUUUUCGUAAGAUUUCCCAUGCAUUCUUUAUUGAAAAUUUUCCAGAACUUGUCUUAGUCCACCAAGGUUUAUCCCCCAUCUCAGAUUGCCGGACAUGAUCCAUAUGAUUUCUAACAUGAUCCACAAUGUGGGCAGGUAUAUGAUUUUGCAUUUCCUCAUAGUCCCAGCCUGCUUCAUUCAUAAACACUCCAAUUUCUGUCAAAGGAUGACAAGAAACCACCUCUGAUUGAUGAUUAUAAAGUGGAUCAAGCAUUGUCCAAUUAUCAUACCAAAUAGUUACGGAACCUCCCUUAGGUUCCCACCAUAGGUGUUGUUCAAUGCAGUUUCUAUUAUGUAGCAUAUAUUUCCACUGUUGAGAACCUCCCCUCCACUGAACCAAUGAAGGUAAUUGUUUCUUACAAUACUUGUUCU